rnacentral:rRNA from 1 species
AACGAACGCUGGCGGCAUGCCUAACACAUGCAAGUCGAACGAAACCUUCGGGUCUAGUGGCGCACGGGUGCGUAACGCGUGGGAACCUGCCCUUAGGUUCGGAAUAACUCCCCGAAAGGGGUGCUAAUACCGGAUAAUGUCUUCGGACCAAAGAUUUAUCGCCUUUGGAUGGGCCCGCGUUGGAUUAGCUAGUUGGUAGGGUAAAAGCCUACCAAGGCGACGAUCCAUAGCUGGUAUGAGAGGAUGAUCAGCCACACUGGGACUGAGACACGGCCCAGACUCCUACGGGAGGCAGGAGUGGGUGAUAGUGGAAAAUGGGCGGAGGCCUGAUGCAGCAAUGCCGGGUGAGUGAUGAAGGCCUUAGGGUUGUAAAGCUCUUUUACCCGGGAUGAUAAUGACAGUACCGGGAGAAUAAGCUCCGGCUAACUCCGUG